rnacentral:rRNA from 1 species
AGAGCGAACGCUGGCGGCAGGCCUAAUACAUGCAAGUCGAACGGACCCUUCGGGGUUAGUGGCGGACGGGUGAGUAACACGUGGGAACGUGCCCUUUGGUUCGGAACAACUCAGGGAAACUUGAGCUAAUACCGGAUGUGCCCUUCGGGGGAAAGAUUUAUCGCCAUUGGAGCGGCCCGCGUCUGAUUAGCUAGUUGGUGGGGUAAAGGCCUACCAAGGCUACGAUCAGUAGCUGGUCUGAGAGGAUGAUCAGCCACACUGGGACUGAGACACGGCCCAGACUCCUACGGGAGGCAGCAGUAGGGAAUCUUGCGCAAUGGGCGAAAGCCUGACGCAGCCAUGCCGCGUGAAUGAUGAAGGUCUUAGGAUUGUAAAAUUCUUUCAGCGGGACGAUAAUGACGGUACCCGCAGAAGAAGCCCGGCUAACUCGUGCCAGCAGCCGC